rnacentral:rRNA from 1 species
UAGCCGGACUGAGAGGUUGAACGGCCACAUUGGGACUGAGACACGGCCCAGACUCCUACGGGAGGCAGCAGUGGGGAAUAUUGCACAAUGGGGGAAACCCUGAUGCAGCGACGCCGCGUGGAGGAAGAAGGUCUUCGGAUUGUAAACUCCUGUUGUUGAGGAAGAUAAUGACGGUACUCAACAAGGAAGUGACGGCUAACUACGUGCCAGCAGCCGCGGUAAAACGUAGGUCACAAGCGUUGUCCGGAAUUACUGGGUGUAAAGGGAGCGCAGGCGGGAAGACAAGUUGGAAGUGAAAUCCAUGGGCUCAACCCAUGAACUGCUUUCAAAACUGUUUUUCUUGAGUAGUGCAGAGGUAGGCGGAAUUCCCGGUGUAGCGGUGGAAUGCGUAGAUAUCGGGAGGAACACCAGUGGCGAAGGCGGCCUACUGGGCACCAACUGACGCUGAGGCUCGAAAGUGUGGGUAGCAAACAGGAUUAGAUACCCUGGUAGUCCACACCGUAAACGAUGAUUACUAGGUGUUGGAGGAUUGACCCCUUCAGUGCCGCAGUUAACACAAUAAGUAAUCCACCUGGGGAGUACGACCGCAAGGUUGAAACUCAAAGGAAUUGACGGGGGCCCGCACAAGCAGUGGAGUAUGUGGUUUAAUUCGACGCAACGCGAAGAACCUUACCAAGUCUUGACAUCCUGCGACGCACAUAGAAAUAUGUGUUUCCUUCGGGACGCAGAGACAGGUGGUGCAUGGUUGUCGUCAGCUCGUGUCGUGAGAUGUUGGGUUAAGUCCCGCAACGAGCGCAACCCUUAUGGUCAGUUACUACGCAAGAGGACUCUGGCCAGACUGCCGUUGACAAAACGGAGGAAGGUGGGGAUGACGUCAAAUCAUCAUGCCCUUUAUGACUUGGGCUACACACGUACUACAAUGGCGUUAAACAAAGAGAAGCAAGACCGCGAGGUGGAGCAAAACUCAGAAACAACGUCCCAGUUCGGACUGCAGGCUGCAACUCGCCUGCACGAAGUCGGAAUUGCUAGUAAUCGCAGAUCAGCAUGCUGCGGUGAAUACGUUCCCGGGCCUUGUACACACCGCCCGUCACACCAUGAGAGCCGGGGGGACCCGAAGUCGGUAGUCUAACCGCAAGGAGGACGCCGCCGAAGGUAAAACUGGUGAUUGGGGUGAAGUCGUAACAAGGUAGCCGUAGGAGAACCUGCGGCUG